UACAGAGGUGGCAAGCGUUGUUCGGAAUUACUGGGCGUAAAGGGCGCGUAGGCGGGCAAGCAAGUCCGGGGUGAAAUCUUUCGGCUCAACCGGAAAAGUGCCUUGGAUACUGCUUGUCUGGAGGGAGGUAGGGGCAUGUGGAACUUCUGGUGGAGCGGUGAAAUGCGUUGAUAUCAGAAGGAACGCCGGUGGCGAAAGCGACAGGCUGGCCCUCUUCUGACGCUGAGGCGCGAAAGCUAGGGGAGCAAACGGG
rnacentral:rRNA from 1 species